UCUGUUGUUUGGAAAGAAUUGUACUAAUAGGAAAUGAUUAGUGCUUGACGGUACCAUUCAAGAAAGCCACGGCUAACUACGUGCCAGCAGCCGCGGUAAUACGUAGGUGGCAAGCGUUAUCCGGAUUUAUUGGGCGUAAAGCGUCCGCAGCCGGUUUAUUAAGUAUAGAAUUAAAGCCUGAGGCUCAACCUCAGUUCGUUCUAUAAACUGAUAAGCUAGAGUGUGGUAGAGGCAAGUGGAAUUUCUAGUGUAGCGGUAGAAUGCGUAGAUAUUAGAAGGAACACCAGUGGCGAAGGCGACUUGCUGGGCCACCACUGACGGUCAGGGACGAAAGCGUGGGGAGCAAAUAGGAUUAGAUACCCUAGUAGUCCACGCCGUAAACGAUGAGUACUAAGUGUCGGUUUUCCGGUGCUGAAGUUAACACAUUAAGUACUCCGCCUGAGUAGUACGGUCGCAAGGCUGCAACUCAA
rnacentral:rRNA from 1 species